rnacentral:rRNA from 1 species
GUGCCAGCAGCCGCGGUAAUACGUAGGUGGCAAGCGUUGUCCGGAUUUAUUGGGCGUAAAGCGCGCGCAGGCGGUUUCUUAAGUCUGAUGUGAAAGCCCACGGCUUAACCGGGGAGGGUCAUUGGAAACUGGGUGACUUGAGUGCAGAAGAGGAAAGCGGAAUUCCAAGUGUAGCGGUGAAAUGCGUAGAGAUUUGGAGGAAGACCAGUGGCGAAGGCGGUUUUCUGGACUGUAACUGACGCUGAGGCGUGAAAGCGUGGGGAGCAAACAGGAUUAGAUACCCUGGUAGUCCAUGCCGUAAACGAUGAGUACUAAGUGUUAGGGGGUU